GAUGAACGCUAGCUACAGGCUUAACACAUGCAAGUCGAGGGGCAUCAUUAUCGAAGCUUGCUUUGAUAGAUGGCGACCGGCGCACGGGUGAGUAACGCGUAUCCAACCUUCCCCGUAGUAGGGCACAGCCCGGCGAAAGUCGGAUUAAUUCCCUAUGUUCUCCAAUGCAGACAUCUAAGUUGGAGCAAAGAUUCAUCGCUAUGGGAUGGGGAUGCGUCUGAUUAGGUUGUCGGCGGGGUAACGGCCCACCGAGCCUGCGAUCAGUAGGGGUUCUGAGAGGAAGGUCCCCCACAUUGGAACUGAGACACGGUCCAAACUCC
rnacentral:rRNA from 1 species